rnacentral:ncRNA from 1 species
UAAGGGCACUGGCAGACGACCAGGUAGAUAGGCCGGAGGCGGAAGUCCAGCAAUGGAUGGAGCUGACCGGUACUAAUCGGCCGA